rnacentral:sRNA from 1 species
UAACGGUGAUGUGGAAGCGUGCGCAAGA